CUCUCUGUAGCUCAGUUGGUUAGAGCGCUGCACCGAAAUCGUAGGACCGCAGGUUCGAUUCCUGCCAGAGGGC
rnacentral:tRNA from 1 species